rnacentral:rRNA from 1 species
UACACUCCACGGGAGGCAGCAGUGGGGAAUAUUGCACAAUGGGCGCAAGCCUGAUGCAGCCAUGCCGCGUGUAUGAAGAAGGCCUUCGGGUUGUAAAGUACUUUCAGCGGGGAGGAAGGCAAUACGGUUAAUAACCGUGUUGAUUGACGUUACCCGCAGAAGAAGCACCGGCUAACUCCGUGCCAGCAGCCGCGGUAAUACGGAGGGUGCAAGCGUUAAUCGGAAUUACUGGGCGUAAAGCGCACGCAGGCGGUCUGUCAAGUCGGAUGUGAAAUCCCCGGGCUCAACCUGGGAACUGCAUUCGAAACUGGCAGGCUUGAGUCUUGUAGAGGGGGGUAGAAUUCCAGGUGUAGCGGUGAAAUGCGUAGAGAUCUGGAGGAAUACCGGUGGCGAAGGCGGCCCCCUGGACAAAGACUGACGCUCAGGUGCGAAAGCGUGGGGAGCAAACAGGAUUAGAAACCCCUGUAGUCCC